AGUGAACGCUGGCGGUAGGCCUAACACAUGCAAGUCGAACGGCAGCACAGUAAGAGCCUGCUCUUACGGGUGGCGAGUGGCGGACGGGUGAGGAAUACAUCGGAAUCUACUUUUUCGUGGGGGAUAACGUAGGGAAACUUACGCUAAUACCGCAUACGACCUACGGGUGAAAGCAGGGGAUCUUCGGACCUUGCGCGAUUGAAUGAGCCGAUGUCGGAUUAGCUAGUUGGCGGGGUAAAGGCCCACCAAGGCGACGAUCCGUAGCUGGUCUGAGAGGAUGAUCAGCCACACUGGAACUGAGACACGGUCCAGACUCCUACGGGAGGCAGCAGUGGGGAAUAUUGGACAAAGGGCGCAAGCCUGAUCCAGCCAUACCGCGUGGGUGGAGAAGGCCUUCGGGUUGUAAAGCCCUUUUGUUGGGAAAGAAAAGCAGCAGGUUAAUACCCCGCUGUUCUGACGGUACCCAAAGAAUAAGCACCGGCUAACUUCGUG
rnacentral:rRNA from 1 species